rnacentral:lncRNA from 1 species
AAAUAUGUUGGUUUAGAUGGAAAGAUUUGGAGGCCGAAAGCGAUGAUGUUAUCGUUGAAAGUGUUUGCUGUUGCGGGUGUGGAAGGUGUUGUGGUGGAGAUUUGGUGGGGUGGGUUUGAACUUGUUAUGAUGGCUUGUGUUUCAUCAAUAUGACACUGAAGGCAGGGACCAAUUGCACCAACGAAAGAAAAAUGUAGGGAUUUUUAAAACAUUUAUUGAAAUGUAGGGAUUAUUCUCAAAAUCGCGUAAAAUGUAGGGACCAAAAACAUAUUUAACCC